AUUGAACGCUGGCGGAAUGCUUUACACAUGCAAGUCGAACGAUGAACCUUAGCUUGCUAAGGGGAUUAGUGGCGAACGGGUGAGUAAUGUAUCGGAACGUAUCCAAUAAUGGGGGAUAACUAGUCGAAAGAUUAGCUAAUACCGCAUACGUCCUACGGGAGAAAGCUGGGGACCUUCGGGCCUGGCGUUAAUGGAGCGGCCGAUAUCUGAUUAGCUAGUUGGUGGGGUAAAGGCUCACCAAGGCGACGAUCAGUAGCUGGUCUGAGAGGACGAACAGCCACACUGGAACGGGGACACGGUCCAGACUACUACGGGAGGCAGCAGUGGGGAAUUUUGGACAAUGGGCGAAAGCCUGAUCCAGCCAUUCCGCGUGAGUGAAGAAGGCCUUCGGGUUGUAAAGCUCUUUCGCAAGAGAAGAAAACUUAAGCUCUAACAUAGCUUGAGGUUGACGGUACCUUGAUAAGAAGCACCGGCUAACUACGUGCCAGCAGCCGCGGUAA
rnacentral:rRNA from 1 species